rnacentral:rRNA from 1 species
AGUGAACGCUGGCGGUAGGCCUAACACAUGCAAGUCGAACGGCAGCACAGUAAGAGCUUGCUCUUACGGGUGGCGAGUGGCGGACGGGUGAGGAAUACAUCGGAAUCUACUUUUUCGUGGGGGAUAACGUAGGGAAACUUACGCUAAUACCGCAUACGACCUACGGGUGAAAGCAGGGGAUCUUCGGACCUUGCGCGAUUGAAUGAGCCGAUGUCGGAUUAGCUAGUUGGCGGGGUAAAGGCCCACCAAGGCGACGAUCCGUAGCUGGUCUGAGAGGAUGGUCAGCCAAACUGGAACUGAGACACGGCCCAGACUCCUACGGGAGGCAGCAGUGGGGAAUAUUGGACAAUGGGCGCACGCCUGACCCAGCCAUACCGCGUGGGUGAAGAAGGCCUUCGGGUUGUAAAGCCCUUUUGUUGGGAAAGAAAAGCAGCAGGUUAAUACCCCGCUGUUCUGACGGUACCCAAAGAAUAAGCACCGGCUAACUUCGUG